GACGAACGCUGGCGGCGUGCUUAACACAUGCAAGUCGAACGGAAAGGCCCUGCUUUUGUGGGGUGCUCGAGUGGCGAACGGGUGAGUAACACGUGAGUAACCUGCCCUUGACUUUGGGAUAACUUCAGGAAACUGGGGCUAAUACCGGAUAGGAGCUCCUGCUGCAUGGUGGGGGUUGGAAAGUUUCGGCGGUUGGGGAUGGACUCGCGGCUUAUCAGCUUGUUGGUGGGGUAGUGGCUUACCAAGGCUUUGACGGGUAGCCGGCCUGAGAGGGUGACCGGCCACAUUGGGACUGAGAUACGGCCCAGACCCCUACGGGAGGCGGCAGUGGGGAAUAUUGCACAAUGGGCGGAAGCCUGAUGCAGCAACGCCGCGUGCGGGAUGACGGCCUUCGGGUUGUAAACCGCUUUCGCCUGUGACGAAGCGUGAGUGACGGUAAUGGGUAAAGAAGCACCGGCUAACUACGUG
rnacentral:rRNA from 1 species